UUGGGAAUAUGCCUUAGGGUGGGGGACAACAGUUGGAAACGACUGCUAAUACCGCAUAACGUCUACGGACCAAAGGGGGCUUCGGCUCUCGCCCUUAGAUUAGCCCAAGUGGGAUUAGCUAGUUGGUGAGGUAAUGGCUCACCAAGGCGACGAUCCCUAGCUGGUUUGAGAGGAUGAUCAGCCACACUGGAACUGAGACACGGUCCAGACUCCUACGGGAGGCAGCAGUGGGGAAUAUUGCACAAUGGGCGCAAGCCUGAUGCAGCCAUGCCGCGUGUGUGAAGAAGGCCUUAGGGUUGUAAAGCACUUUCAGUAAGGAGGAAAGGUUAGUAGUUAAUACCUGCUAGCUGUGACGUUACUUACAGAAGAAGCACCGGCUAACUCCGUGCCAGCAGCCGCGGUAAUACGGAGGGUGCGAGCGUUAAUCGGAAUUACUGGGCGUAAAGCGUACGCAGGCGGUUUGUUAAGCG
rnacentral:rRNA from 1 species